rnacentral:rRNA from 1 species
GAUCCUGGCUCAGGAUGAACGCUAGCGGCAGGCUUAACACAUGCAAGUCGAGGGGCAGCAUAAUGGAUAGCAAUAUCUAUGGUGGCGACCGGCGCACGGGUGAGUAACGCGUAUCCAACCUGCCUACCACUUGGGGAUAACCUUGCGAAAGUAAGACUAAUACCCAAUGACAUCCCACGAAGACAUCUGAAUGGGAUUAAAGAUUUAUCGGUGAUGGAUGGGGAUGCGU